UGCCGGAGUUUUCAGUCAAGUAAUUGAAGACAAAUGAAGAGAGCUCCUCGUCUAACAGUGAAGCGCAGAGUUCGGCAGAGCGUC